rnacentral:rRNA from 1 species
GACGAACGCUGGCGGCGUGCUUAACACAUGCAAGUCGAGCGGUAAGGCCCUUCGGGGUACACGAGCGGCGAACGGGUGAGUAACACGUGGGUGACCUGCCUCUAGCUCUGGGAUAAGCCUGGGAAACUGGGUCUAAUACCGGAUAUGACUCCACGGCGCAUGUUGUGGGGUGGAAAGCCUUGUGUGGCUAGAGAUGGGCCCGCGGCCUAUCAGCUUGUUGGUGGGGUGAUGGCCUACCAAGGCGACGACGGGUAGCCGGCCUGAGAGGGCGACCGGCCACACUGGGACUGAGACACGGCCCAGACUCCUACGGGAGGCAGCAGUGGGGAAUCUUGCGCAAUGGGCGAAAGCCUGACGCAGCGACGCCGCGUGA